CAAUUUAUAAACACACAACAUAUACGCUCUACAAAAGAACACACCAUUACACACUCCAUAUUUCUUUUCUUCUCCAACAAUGCACACACACAGUAAAUACACACCACCACCGAUACACCACUCAUUCUCACCAUGGACUGAAUACACACCCACUCACAUAUUCUCAUCAUCCAUCGACACUCACGCGCAUACAGAAUACCCACACAGCAACCCAUUACCCAUCUAUAUACACCCACGCAUACACAAUAAUAGAGGGAGGCACCAUUCUUCAUUCAUCACCAUAGACCUCAUCGGAUAUUCACACACAUACGCACGUAUAUCACCGGAAAAAUGCGCACCUCACCAAAAAUUCACACGCCCUCACCGAAAAAUGCACACACACGUACAUAGUGAGAAAAAUCAACAGUAAAACAAAGAGAGGGGGGAGGGUAGCAGAAACUAGAGAGAUUUAGAGAGAGGGAUAAUGGGUUGAAGUGCCAAAAUAGAGAGAAAGAGAGAAAUCUAGAUCGGAAAACAGAGUUGAUUGAAGCCAGAGAAAGAGACGGUUCCGGCGAAUUCUCAUCGGAAAAUGUUACUGCCUUCAGAAAUGGACCCCUUUUUCUCUGAUUUUGUCACUGCCGAGCUCACCGAAGCUUCGAUCAAGAAAAAUCGGUGAGCCCAGCUUCAUUUCGACCAAACGCACGCCGAACAACCACUCCCAUUCCUGUUUUUCAGCAAAAAUCUCACUGGAAAUAGCAAAUCAGGGACCGAAUCAGUUAAGCACAACCUAUUUUAGUCAAUGCCGAUGAAAUCUCGUCGGAAAAUGACCAAAAUAGGAAAUGGGUCUGUCGGGUCAUUUGGUUUAUUCCUGAUUCUUGGGUUUGUUGUGAGUUGGAUCCGAAAUUUCAUCAUCGAUGUUUGAUUUGAGGUUUGGUCCAAUUCUUUCGCCACCUUCUUUUAAUUUUUAUGCAAUUGUAAACGUCAUUUGAUAUCACUGAUUUAUUUAUUGAUGCGAUUUGUUGGUAUGUUUUGAGUGUAUUUAAACAAUGUUGAGUGUCGUUGCCUGGAUUGCUAUCUAAAAAUUGAGUAACUGCAUGUGAUUGUGAAUAUAAUUGGGGACGAAAAUGAAAAAAUGGAUAAAAAGGUGAACAUGGAUUGAUUUAGAUUCAUUGAUGUUGGUUUAAUUCGGUUUGAAUAUGAAUGUUGUUGAACACGAUAGUAGCAUAAUUAGGCCGUUAAAUCGACAGGCAAAUUCUAGGUUUUGGGUUAGAUAAUUUGUAGGAUUCUAAUCAUCAAAUGGGUAAAUGUUUGUAUUGAGUGAUCUCUCUAUUUUUAUCGCAUUUCUUUAAAUGUAUUCAUUUUGCUGGGGAAUGACCGAGGCUCAUUGUAUUUAUUCAUCGGGAAAUUCCCCGAUGUAUUAUGUUGGCGAAAGAUGAUCGUGAUCAAGGCUCGAGGCAUCGGGUAGAGCAUAGUUUAGGACUAGUGUAGGUUAGCGUAGUUUUAUUUCAAUAUCUUUAUUUCGGACUGUAAUAAUUGGACUGGACACUAUAUUUUUUGGACUUGUUUUAUAUUGUUUGUUCGAUUGAUUAUUUUGUGUGUUUUACGUGGUUUAUACAUUCAGAGUGCCGUACUAGCCGAUAUACUUCACGAAGCUACCAUGGUCGAACUACGGGACUGAGGAGUGCCUAAUACCUUCCCUUCGAUCAACAGAAUUUUUUAACCGAAAUCUCUAUUCGUGGAUCAGUUUUAAAGAGUCAAACCAUUUUGAAAAAGGAUUUUCAACGAAAACUUGGCACUUGGCACACCAGAUUUAUGUCAAGUGGCGAUUCUGAGUUAUAAUGAAAAAGAAUCUUUUUCGAAAUAAAUUCUAUCUUUUGUCACUUAAUAAUAAAACUCUUUUUGAACUUCAAAGUAAUCUUUUUUUUGGUUUAAAAAAAAAGGGUGUGACUACUCUUUAUCAGUUGGUUCACCAUAUUGGUUGUUGUUUUCACACACUAAAGAUGCAAGGUACUCCCUCCAUUCUUCUUUACUUGUCCAUUUUUCUAUUUAGGGAUAUUCAAUUUAAGAGGGAUGGCUUAACGGCCUAAAUUCAUUUUUGAUGCAAAGGAGAGUUCAUAAAUCAUAGAAAUAAAGUUUUUAAGAUGGAAAUCAACUGUGAGGAUAACACUCAUUGACAGCAUCUAAGAGAUUGUUGACAGGUUCGUGUUCAUGAGCCCAAGGCUUUGAUGUCCCUCUGCACAGAUAUGUCGCCAUGAUGGAAUUAAAAGUAUCCUUGAAAACAUGCGUUGCUUCUGAUUUUUCAUUGAAAAUUGAAUGCAAUACCUUGAUUCUGACUUUGUCACUGAUAACUCAGGUGCAUCCCGAUUUUACUUCCAUACCUUUUCGCUUACUUUUCCCUCUAUUGGGUGCGGUUGUAAUUUGCAGGAACAAAAUGAAAGGUUGUUCUACAAGCUUCUUAUUGAUAUUGUGGAAGAGUUACUUCCAAUUGUCUACACUCCCAACUGUUGGUGAGGCGUAUCAAAAAUAUGAAAGCAUUUUUAAGUGUCCACAGGAUUUAUACACCAGUUUGAAAGAAAAGUAUGACAGUCGCGGAUUAAGGUUUUUUUGCUGCUUUCACCUAAAGUUACAUUUGACUAAAGUACGAAUAUAUAUCUUAUUUUCUGGAGAAGGAUCCUUGAGGUAUUGAAGAACUGGCUUGAAACAUUAAUCCAGGUCAUCAUCGUGACUGAUGGAGAAAAAAUUCUGGGACUUGGGACCUUGGUUGCCAGAGAAUAGGUAUUAUCUAUGGGGAAAUUGGCUCUGUAUACUACACUUGGAGGAGUCAGACCUUCAGCGUGCUUGCCUAUAACAAAUGACGUAGGGACAGUAAUGAGAAGUUACUGAACCAUGAGUUCUACAAUGGUCUUAGACAAAAGAAAUCAACUGGGCAAGUGAAUUUUAGCCUGUUUGCCUUUGUAGAUUACCAUGUGGAAGACUGAAUUCGUAGUGAAGCUGCUUUGGCUACAUUUUCCCCCCUCCUUUGAGGAAUAUUAUGACUUCCUUCAUGAAUUCAUGUCUGAUGUGAAGCAAAAUUAUGGUAAAAAAAUUCUCAUACAGUUUGAAGAUUUUUCAACCCACAAUGCUUUUGAGUUGUUGGCUAAAUAUCGUACCACACAUUUGGUCUUCAAUGAUGAUAUACAGGGGACAACUUCUGUGAUUCUUGCAGGGAUUAUUGCAUCCCUUAAGCUACUUGAGGUGCAUAAUGUGAUCAAUAUUCUUUUUCCUCGGUGCUGGAGAGCCUGGACAACUUUUUCAGGCUGAUGAUCAAUCACUGGGGUUGCCUCAAACAGAUGGUGAUUAUCCAGGAGGAUUUUCCUCACCCUCUUCAAGUAUUUCAUUGAUUUCCUCUGCAAAAUCCCUGUUUUUAUAUCGAUUGUUCCUCACUUAAAUGAAGUGAACAAGGAGAAGAGUUCUCGGUGAUAGCUUUAUCUAAAGCAGUUUUCCACCAACCAUGACACACUUGCCAAAAUCUGAAAGUGGUACGUUUGCGGGAAUUGUCGUUAAUAAUUUGAUCAGAACAUAUCCAAUUGAAAGUCUAACCUCAACCUCUUUGGAUGGAGCUUCAAAAAAGAUAUAGCAUUGCAAGUUUGUAAUAAUUCCUAGAAGUUGAAUUGUAUAGAAAAUGAUCCAAUUCUUUCCUCAAAGGUCUCUCUUUAUAUUGGAGAUUUAAGAAAAUGAGAGUUUCAAAUCCAUUAAAUUCACUUGUGAUAUGAGGUUUUGAGGAAAAGAAAUCAGGUAGUAUUCUGUUCUAUCAUAUAUAUUUCGUUAUUCUGUUAUUAA